rnacentral:rRNA from 1 species
UACAGAGGUGGCAAGCGUUGUUCGGAAUUACUGGGCGUAAAGGGCGCGUAGGCGGCCCGUCAAGUCCCGUGUGAAAGCCCCCGGCUCAACCGGGGAACGGCGCGGGAAACUAGCAGGCUUGAGUUCGGGAGAGGGAAGCGGAAUUCCGGGUGUAGCGGUGAAAUGAGCAGAUAUCCGGAGGAACACCGGUGGCGAAGGCGGCUUCCUGGACCGACACUGACGCUGAGGCGCGAAAGCUAGGGGAGCAAACGGG